ACGUAGGGUGCGAGCGUUAAUCGGAAUUACUGGGCGUAAAGCGUGCGCAGGCGGUUAUAUAAGUCAGAUGUGAAAUUCCCGGGCACAAACUGGGACCUGCAUUUGAGACUGUAUAGCUAGAGUACGGUAGAGGGGGAUGGAAUUCCGCGUGUAGCAGUGAAAUGCGUAGAUAUGCGGAGGAACACCGAUGGCGAAGGCAAUCCCCUGGACCUGUACUGACGCUCAUGCACGAAAGCGUGGGGAGCAAACAG
rnacentral:rRNA from 1 species